GCGUGCAGGUGAGAUCAAAGGGUGCAGCGUGGGGGAGGGGACAGCAGUCGCUAAUUGAGAGGACAGAGACAGCAGAUGGGAGCAGCACAAGCCCGAGCAACAAGUUUUGAGAGAGCGAGUUAUUACAAGAGGAUGGGGCGUCAACACACAAGCCCAAAGCGGCCAAGCAAGGGCACAAAUGUCCAAUAUGUGGGCUGGACUAUGCCGACUUAACGCAGCACAUUAAACUAGGUGAACGCGUGGUCAACAGAACUGAACUGGAACUGCUGUCUAAGUUGGCACACAGACGGUGCAGGAGGCCUUUAUCUC